rnacentral:lncRNA from 1 species
GCACAAUGCCUUGGACAAUUUGUCACACACAUACGCAUCCCUUGAUGUUGUCGUUGUUCUGUAGAUAAUAAUAUUUGUCAGAAGAUGUAGCUAGUGCUAAUAAUAUUUGUACUUCUUACAAUGUAGCUAGUUUUACGCCGUCGCGGCUAACCUCAAUCGUGAAUUUCUGUUUGACAGCUCGCGUGCACUGUUUACAUAGACUUAGUCGCGUUCGAACGGAAAGUGCUGGGUAUUUUUUUUAUUCAAAAUCGGCUGAAAUUACAAAAGUCAAGUGGAAACCGAAGGCGAAGUGGGCGGCAAACUUGUCUACAUGCUCGCUGAACCCGAACGAAAACGAAGCCGUGCUGCUGACGGAGAUGGUCAGGCAAUGCCUUGUUCCGACGCUCUGCCUGGAAUGACCGAUCACCAAGGACAUGCAAGUCCCAGAAAACUACCGCACUGUCUUCCGACCGCUUAUGCUCCAGCUCCAGCUCCCGAGGACAUGGUCGAAUUCAAUCUCGAGCGCUGCAACCUCGCCCUCCUCCACCAGCAGAACACCGGCAGACUCUUCAUCGUCCUGUUUGAGUAGAAAAAAAAGCUGCUCUCGGAGGUUUUCCGUUGUCGAUUCUUGACGUGGGCCUGACGGAAAAGGACAGUUUGUCCUUGGUUCAAAUUAGUACGAACUGGUAGUUCGGUUCAACAAACAACUGGUCUCCGGCACCUGGCAACGAGGGUGCUUCAAUCUACAACUAGAGACGUGAUCCUGGUUUCGAGUUUAAUUGAUGGACAGUGGAAUUUUAAAAUCCUGUUUGGCUUUUAUUUUAAUCAAACGUUAUUAUUUCUGACAUAUAAAAUCAAACUUGUUUUUUAGUCAAAGAAUUUAUUUUUAUCCUUAAUAAUCUAGCAGCUCCUUGACGACAUGGUCCGCUAGACUGUAGUUGAUUAGCAUUCCAAUAUGGUCCUUCGGGUCAAUCCGAAUUGCAGGAAGGGAUUGGCGUUGGCCAACUACUUCAUCUCGCUCGUUAUCCCGAAGCACCAGGAUCAUUUAGGGUGGCCACUCAAGUCGGGAAUUUGCCAAGAUCCGCAAAAAUCGGGGAAAUGUCGGGAAUUUGUAUUUUUUUGUCAAAAAGUCGGGAAUGCCAAGCACAUAGGUGUCUGAACAUCAUUUUCUAACUCUUGAAUAAUUUUUUAAUAUUUUGCACAAUCUUCAAAUUUAUUUCACUCAAUUGCAAAAGACUAAGUUGCAAAAGACAAACUUACUUUAAAUUUAAGCUUUCUUCUGAUAUUUUAAUCUAUUUCAGUGUGAAAAGGCUAUUUGAGAUUAUUAUUAAUGUGAUUACUGUUGCAAAAAUAUUUUUUAUAGUUUUUGUCACACUAAAGGAAUUCUGCCAACUUGAAAUAUUAUAAAAAACAAUUAUAAUUAACAAAAGUUUUUGAAUUUUAUAAAACCCUGAUAUUUAUACCAAAGAGCUACCAUAUAUUUGAUUAAAGGAAGUUAAAACUCAAUAAAUGUGCCAACAAUCAGUUUUAAUUAUCGUUUCGGAAGAUUUACAUAGAUAUAGAAUAGUUCAUUGAAGAAAAAUCAAAGUGUCACAUAUUCAGGGAAAAAUGUGCUAUUUCUGAAUACCCCUUGAUUCAAGGAUUGGUUUAGUUUAUUGUAAGUUUAAGUUAGUUUUAGGUUGGGUUAUGUUUUCUUAACAUUUUUUUCCUCAUUGUACCUAGUGUUAGAGAAAUGAUAAAUCAUAUAUUUUUUAGGUUAUGAAAAUGAACAGUGUUUAAAUCACAAAAAGCUAACUAAAGCUGAAGGUUGAUCCACUUAUUAUGUAAAUCAAAUGUAAUUAUUAUAAGAAAGAUUCAAUAAAGUAUAUUUAAUAAAAAAAAGUGAAAAUCCCUAGGUUAUAAAAGGACAAAAUAAAUUCAAAGAACAUUGGACUAAGUUAUUACAAAUAUGUUUAAAGGAUUUGCGUCUUCAAACAUUUCGCAUCAAAUUAUUGGUAAAUUAGUCUUAUCAAAAUAGGUUUUUCAAAGAAGCGAAAACUCUAUAGAUAAACCGACGACGAUCAACAUUGAUUUAAAUAUUAAAAAUCAAAAUUCAGAAGAUGGAAAAGGGAAUCAGGUAGUUUUUUUAAAGCGAAUUCCUUAACAUAUUUUGAAGUUUUUUGAUAACUGGAAUCAUGACAAAUCAAUAAAA